GAUGACGGGCCCCAAAGAUACACAGAUACUUGCCGAGCAACGUCACGGGCUUCGGUCCCCAACUCUUCGUACCGAGCACUACGUGUAUCAUUGGGAAUAACAGUCAGACUCUCGGACUUUCGGACAUCCCAUCUCUGAUGAAAUGCACGCUUGACUCCGCUGGCAUGUGUAUUUGUUACCAGCCCAUACAGGCCAACUUCCAUAAAUCGAUAUUUUAGUAUAGUAUUUUAUAUCUUCUCUUCUCAUGCUGUAGGGGUUUUAAAACUUUGUUAUUUUUAAAAGAUACCAUGGAAAAUUUUAUUCAAAGAAAAGCUAAUCGGUUUUUCUAUAAGCCUAUUUAAACUUCACAUGCAAAUAUAUCAUUAUUUUGACGAAUUUUAAAAAUGAUUAAAUGUCAGAAAU
ensembl:ncRNA lncRNA:CR45265 long non-coding RNA:CR45265